rnacentral:rRNA from 1 species
UGGGGAAUAUUGGACAAUGGGCGAAAGCCUGAUCCAGCAAUGCCGCGUGAGUGAUGAAGGCCUUAGGGUUGUAAAGCUCUUUUACCCGGGAUGAUAAUGACAGUACCGGGAGAAUAAGCUCCGGCUAACUCCGUGCCAGCAGCCGCGGUAAUACGGAGGGAGCUAGCGUUAUUCGGAAUUACUGGGCGUAAAGCGCACGUAGGCGGCUUUGUAAGUUAGAGGUGAAAGCCUGGAGCUCAACUCCAGAAUUGCCUUUAAGACUGCAUCGCUUGAAUCCAGGAGAGGUGAGUGGAAUUCCGAGUGUAGAGGUGAAAUUCGUAGAUAUUCGGAAGAACACCAGUGGCGAAGGCGGCUCACUGGACUGGUAUUGACGCUGAGGUGCGAAAGCGUGGGGAGCGAAACAGGAUUAGAUACCCUGGUAGUCCACGCCGUAAACGAUGAUAACUAGCUGUCGGGGCUCUUAGAGCUUCGGUGGCGCGGCUAACGCU